AAGUGAGGACUAAUCCCAUCCCUGGGCCUGCUCUCUGUUCCCUUCCUGCAUUAGAGAUUGGCUAUAAGGAGAAGGCUGACGGCUGCAGCAUGAAGCGCAUUAUUACCUUGUGAUUCCAUGACCCUCCUCUAUGCAUCCCUAACUCUCGAAAGCUGAUUCAGCUUUCAGCUAGUGCUCUGGUGAGUCCUCUGCUGCAACAGAAGCUCCUAACUGCCAGUUUCAGGAGGUGCAGCUCCCAGAGACCUGCUCAGAGCCUUGUGCUUCGGGAAAAGAGCUUUGGAGGGACCAUCUUGAUCCCACACGGAGCCAGCUCCCUCCAGCCUUGCUCUCCCAAAUCCUUUCUGUGGCAACAGCAGGAUUUGGAGCUCGCUGAUAUCUGCCCUUUGCAGCCGGGAGGUGCCCGGAUCCUGAACCUGUCCAUGGUCUGAAAAUUGGAUGUGCUGCAGUCGAUUUCCCAUAAAGCACAGGAAGAGAGGAAGUCUUACCACUGACUUUGAAAAUCCCAGGAUCAGGUCCUGGCUAAGUCAUUAGAAACCUUUAGCCAAUCAUCCUUAACUACAUCAAAUCUAAUUGUUCCCCAUAUCCUCUAAGAGGCUGCUCUGAUGGCUCACCAGACACUGCUGGUUUCCUGGAAACCCUAUUAGCUUCUCAAACAAGGCAAUCCUGAGGACUCAGUCCUGCAAACCUUUUGUGCAAAUAUUAAAUAACAGCGAAUAAUUAGCAAGAAUAAUCCUUUUUGCUUGACCCUCUUCUGUAAUAAGGACCUUUGUCGGCGAAUGCAAACGUUAUUUUGAGGAGCAAUUCAUAAUCUAGAGCUGCUGAACACAUCAGCCUAAAUACACUAAUACUCUAAUAUCCGUAUUUGUACAGGACUUAAGACAGACAAAACCAGGCACGUUCUCUGUCCCAAAGACCUGAGAGCAUUCGCCAGUCAAGGAUAGGAAGAGGAGGUGGCAAAAGAAGUGGCAAAGAGGGGACCCACUUCUGCCUUUGUCACAUCUUUAAGUGUCUCAGGUGCUGUGAUCAGACCAGCUGGAUUCUGUCCAUGGAAUUUUUUUCUGCGCAUCCUUUUCUUUCACCUGUUUUUCUUUUCUUUCUUUCUUUAUUUAUUUCUGAGAGGGGAGAAAAGAAAGGACAAGCAAGCCAACAGGCAGAUAAUUGUUCUGUGCUGACAGUUUGUCAAGUGAUGGAAGCACAAUUUUAGUCAAGAGAUCUGCGUUACAGCGGCGAGUGAGCAGAAGUCUCUUCCUUUCCUCCCAGAUGGCAUUGACAUAUAGCCUGGAGGGGCUAUCAGGAUACAAAGCUAAAGAUGGUUAAAGACAUUAAAAACUGUACAAUGUGAGCACCAUCUACACCAGGACCAUCAUCUAGGAGGAAGAUUCAUCCUGACAUAUCAGGCAGAAGUCAGAUCUUCUAUUGGUGUUAUAUAAAGUUGUUGAGCCAAAGGUAUUUCUGAGAUAGACAAAAAAAUAUAUAUUCCUGCUGCUAACCAUGUCUUUUCCAGUAGGUCUUUAUUGACUCUUGAAAAGCUAUGACCAAUAAAUGUAAUGAUCUGCCUUCCCUUUUCUUUCUGGGUGAACAAUAUCUUCUGCAGGGUGUUUAUCACUGCGGGCAAUGAGUGGCUUGAGCCAUUCCUGUCUAACUCCACUUCCCAGCAAGACAUUGAAUGCAUUCUCUUCAUCACACUGUUUCCCAUAUCCUGCCAGGGCUUUUGUUAAUGAUAAAUAUUGCACUCAGGAUAAGAUUAUAAAUCUUGCCAUAGGAUGGAGGGAAUUUGAAUUCUGCAUUCCUUGGUUUUGGUGUUGUGCAACUUGCUUAAUUAAUUUGCACAGAGAAUGGGCUUAAUAACAUUGCAUUUUUCAAUAAGCAAGCAGUGCAGCUGGAGGGACAGAGAACCACAAAGAGAGCAGUUCACCUGCAGGAAAAUAUCCUCUACUUCCCCCAUCAGCGAUAAAAAUGUCAAUACAUUGACACAACCCCUAAUUAAAAAUGACUGCCAUAAUCACGCGUAUCAUAGCCGUAGGACAUUGGUUUGGAUGAAAUACAAACAGCGGGAUGUGCUGCACAUGUUUUCCAAAGGAAGAAAGGCUUGGAUGGUGGGAUCUCCUGCACACCCAAGCGAGGGCAGAGGAAGGAUCCCUCAGCUCCUACGCGCGGGCUGAUCCUUCACCGCCCGUCCCACUGAGCUGAACGACGGUGACUGCCUGCACGGCCUGAGCUGUUUGCAGCCAGGAGAUGAACCAUGUCCACGUGCCCUUUUUUGGCUGAGGUUGGAGCAGACGUCCUUCCCUUUGUGUCUGACGUGGCCAGACAGCAGGCGCGUGGCCGGGCGUAGCAGCCUGGCGGCUUCAUGCAUUACCUCAGCUCCUGCAGCAGUGCUGAGCUGUAGUAGCACCCAGCCUGGGGUGUGGAUACGUCCUCCUUUCCCUCACAAGGAACAAAAUCCCUCAUUUUGGGGUAUUCAGCAAGCAGAGGGACAACAGAAAACAGCUUGUUGCUGCUCCAUGUAAAUGAUAUUAUGCCAUUGGCCUGCCUGGAUUGGAUAUGGAUAUUGCAUAUUGGAUAUUUAAUGGUUGGACUUGGUGAUCUUAGGGGUCUUUUGCAACCUGAAUGAUUCCAAGAGAGACUCCCUAUUUUAAUGUUCAACUGCUCUUGCCUUAUGCUUGUGAUACCCAUGUGCACCCAGGGAUCUCAGCUGGCUCUAAGCACUUGUCUUUUAUUCUACAACACCAGAAAUAAGCACUGAGAUGCUUCAUGUAGCCCUGGGGCGGAAAGGUGGGAUUGUACCACAGAGCUGGGGCUGAGGAGAAGCAGCAUCUGCUACAAGGGGCUGAGUAAGAGAGUGAUGUGGCACAGCAUGGCCAGUCUUUCUCUUGAAGAAACUCAACACCAAGAGCUUCCUUCCCAAUUCCACAUGGGAUAGUUACUUCACAUCUCUUAGCAUCUCUGAUAAAAUCUGCCUCCAGCUCCUUCUGCCCUCCCAUCUUAUAAAUCAUUUUGUGCAAUGCCUGACAGAUGAUUUCUGCUUUCUCCUGCGCAGAGGAACAGGAGUGGGGGAAGAGUGAGAGAGGGAGAGAUUUGAAACUGUUUCCCAAAUAUUCCAGUGUCCAGGCAUGAGCUGAUAUCCUGCCAGGAGUAAGAGGUGGCCCUGUGCAGCACUCACUCAGGAACAAAUAAUGAAUGAUCCUGAGCCUCUACUCAGCACAGGGAAAGGAAUUAAUUUCUGUCCCCCUUUUGUGGAUCACCUGGAAAGUACAGGCAUAAUCCAUCUUUCCAUGGUGAGGAUCAUGGCCCUGUGAGCCAAAAAAAGCCUGUGAAGGACAAAACCUGGGACAACCCUUUGAGCUGGGACAUCCGUCAGUCACAGAAAGAAGCAGGAAAAGAAAGAAAGAAAAAAAAGAGAAAAACACCAAAUGACUUUAACUGAUGUAUCUUCAUCUCCUGAGAGGGAAGCUGGAGCUAAGCCUGGUGUAACAUCCUCACUUCAUUUUGGGGAUGAGCAUUUCAUUCCCAGCUGCCUUGGAAGUGCUAAAAACUUCACAAUAAUACCUUUUCAUCAUUUAAAAACUUCCAUUGUGAUCUCCAGCCUGCAGUGUCACACCAGAAGAUUUAAUGUGGGGUGUGAGUAGAUUUUCAAGCAUAGACAGAUUGAUUCAUGAGUGAAUUAAUCUGAUGCAUCUUUUAAAUGGAAAACUGACAUAAUUUUCCAUCAGAGACCUGCUAAUAAAGCACAUUUACUUGGUGAAUCCAUUUUUUCCUGUACUAAGUGCACUAUAUAAGGCAUAAAAAUACCAAAUCAAUAACCAAAGAGCAUAUAAAAAUGAGACUGACAGAUCAGAAACCAUGGGUGAGACAUCCUCUCCUUGUCUCCUUGGGGGACUCUGCUUUUGCUGCUGAAAACCACAUUCCCACAGUCUUCCCAGGACAGCAAGGCUGCAAAACCCAGGUGUCCUUGCAAGUCCCAGAGGGGACUGAGAGCACUGAGCCACCUGCUUCCAGGGGUCUGGUGGCAUCAGUUCUCCUAUAACCCUCCCUAUUUUUAGAAGUAGAUAGUUUGAGGGGGUUGGGUUUUUCUUUUUUAUUUAGUUUUUUUUAUAUUAUUAUUGUUGUUGCAGAAGAAACUGGGUAGAAGGAAUGUGUUUAAAAGACAAAGACAUCUUCCAGUAUAUUUGUGCAGGGAGCCUGCCUAGGGAAUGUGCACAAGCUCUCCUUUUUUAUUCUUUAGCUGGAGUACAGCAGCAUGAUUUCAAAGGAAAUGCCUGCACAGCCUUCCCUCUGCAAACACUGCAACCAUCAUUCCAUCAGUGCAAUUCUCCCGUGUGAGCUAAUUUAACAAGCGGUUGCUUUGCAGGCUGUGGAGAAUUGCCUCUUACCUAAUAAUUCUGCUAAUUUGCUUAACUUUCCCAGAUUGCAAAUGGCCCUGCUCUGAACAGGCAGCUCUCUAAAUGAACCCCCAGACAAGCUCCUGACAAGAGCCAUAGGAAAGGUGGAUGGCUCAGGAGGUUAAAGCUCACAGUCUUUUAUUUUGACCUUUGGGCUAGCAUUCAAAUUUGCUUGUUGGGAAAACUGCAUUCAGCAUGUAUUUUCUUCAGGGAUUUACGAUACCCUUUUGCUUGUAAUUAUUCUCAGUUGAUGUCUUCCAUAAAUUAAAGAGGCUUGUAUUAGCAAGCUCCAAUCCUCUCAAUUAUCUUGCAAAAGUCUCCUUUUUUGUGGCUGGGAGCUACCCCACCAGGAUUGCCAUCCCUGCAAAGCUCCUGGUCCAUGGCUACAGGCAGAGAAAUAAGGAAUGUACAUGGGUAAUACUAAUGUCUGAGCAAUCCCAGAAAGAAAUGAAAACUGCAGUAAAGGUAAAUGUCAGACUAUUUAAAGACAAUGUUAACUAUUGAUUUUUUAAAGGAGACUACCUCUUCAAAGGAUGGCAAGCAUGACUUCAGAUACAGACGAAGCAACCCAGACGGAUGGCGGAGAGAGGGAGGCAAGGGAUGUGGGAAGAGAGAGGUUUUCCCAGAGAGCAAAAUGAACCCUUGAUGAAGCCUCUGGGAUUAAAGAGGUGGCUUAGUUCUGUCACAGCAUCCACCCUUCAACCCGUUUAAGCACCAUGCCUUUUCCAACAAAUGAAGGGCAAAGAAGCACUGAUAAGCAAUAAAGAGAUAAGCAGCAAAGUACUCGUUUCACUGGUGUUUCCCAAUGAAAAAUGAACCCUCGAGCACACCCAGUGAUUUGUUGUCUAAGUAGCAAAGCUCACCCAAGUUCCUGAUUUUGCUUCCAGCAGAGAUGCUCAUUGCUCAUUCUCACACCCCGGAGCAGCUCGGAGUCAUUAUCCAGCACUGGCGCUUCCCUCCCGCACCUGUGAGCUCAUACACGGACAUAUCCAUUUUCUAUAUGCAUGUAUCCAUCCUUGCCUCAUGGCCCAUGCUGUGAUAUCCCUGCCAAAGCAUCCCAGAGCAGAUAUUCCUGGCUGCGGGCGCCUGCAUCUGCAGGGAAUUGUUCCUUUCAAGCUGCAGUGCAGAGACAAUGCUGUACAUGGUGCUUUGGGAAAAUAGCACGAUAAGAAUUUAGUUAGGGGAGUUAAAGGUCUUCCAAGGCUGCUUUUCAAAAAGGAUAACUUCUUAUCUCAAUGGGUGUUUCGGAACAGGAGGCAUGAAGGAUCUAAUCCAGUGAAGUGUAAUGUCAGAGAGGGCAAAUUAAGUUUGCAUUUGGAUACAAACUCUCUUUUAGAGGCAAAUUUGGCUGUUGAAAGGAAAAUUAUUAUACACAUCUACACAGCAAAGGAAAUAGGUGGUGCUGGGGGGCCACUCCUCACAUCAGAAAGCUUUGACAUGGGUACAGGAGAGGAUCAGACCCUCCCAGUGCGCUCUGUUUCUCCUCUAGGAGUCAUUUGGAUGCUUCAGCUUGAAGAUCCCACAGCUCUUAUAACCCCAGCUCUCCUUCUUUGGCAGCCAGCUCAAGGUGCAGAAAACCCCAGUUCCUGGCAUCUCCUAAACACAGCAGCACAACAUGGUAUUACUGCCUGGGGUAGCUUUUGGUUUAGAUGAAUUAUUUCAAUAAGAAGGUCUUCAGACAGUGUUAAAUGACAGAUAAUAUAAUUUUUGAAUGUGAGGUUCAUCUGAAUUUUAUUUUCUGAUGUUUUGACUCAUUGACUUGAUGUCUCUCUAUUAUGCACACACCUCUGGAGAUGUUGCUGGCAAUGAUUAUGCAUAGCAUUGAGUUAGUGAAUAAAACCACUCCAGGAACUGCUUUACAGAUCACAGUAUUGUUUUCCCUAUAAUUGUCCCACAAAUGGUGGAAGUUAUAUGGAGAGAGCAACAUGCUCUGACAGACUGCAUAUUUUUGCAGUGUGCAUCAAAUCUCACUUUGGCCUCUGAGACUUAUUUCUGAUGGUUCUUGGGGAUUUAACUUUAAGACCAAUGUAUUUUAGUAUCCAUAUACGCUCCACUGUUCAUGUCAUCCGGCAGCAACUGAGGAUGAGCUGUCUCCUUAAUAUGGAUGAGACACCAAUUUAUCUAAGUUAUCACCUCCCAAUCUCUCAUACAUCUCUGCUGUUAACUGCUGUGUUUCUGACAUCCAUACCUAAACUCUCUACAACUUCUCCUUCAACUGAAACCAUAAGUAAUUUUUUGGCUGGAAGUUCUUGAUAUGUAUCUAAUGGCUUCUUCAUCUCCCGGCUUCAGUUCAACCACGAGGUGAUGGAAUCAGGCUCUGGACACUGCAUUUUACACCCACAACUCUGCAUAGAUCCAGGCAGCACACUAAAUCAGGGUGUCUUUCCAGCAUCUGAAAAUACAUGACUGAAUUAACAUGUGCCAGGCUCAUGUUGAACAGCACUGCAGCCCCGAUGUGCACAGCCCCAGCAUUUGACUGCAGAGUCAGCAAUACUCUCCCCCUUCCUGAUGCAUUCCCAAGCCAGCAAAACUUAGCCCUACUCCUGGUAUUCUCUUUAUAGAAGGUCCCAGUGGUAUUAUGUAUCAAAUAAAGGUCUCAUUACUUA